UACGGAAGGAGCAAGCGUUGUUCGGAAUUACUGGGUGUAAAGGGCGCGUAGGCGGUAUUGUAAGUCGUGGGUGAAAUCUAAAGGCUCAACCUGAAGACUGCCCAUGAUACUGCAAUACUAGAGCACAAAAGAGGAGAGCGGAAUUCCCGGUGUAACGGUGGAAUGUGUAGAUAUCGGGAAGAACACCAGUGGCGAAGGCGGCUCUCUGGUUUGAUGCUGACGCUGAGGCGCGAAAGCGUGGGGAGCAAACAGG
rnacentral:rRNA from 1 species